GGAAAUGUGGCUUAGUGAUAGAGUGCUUGCCUAGCAUGCAUGAAGCCCUGGGUUUGAUUCCCUAGUACCA
rnacentral:tRNA from 1 species